rnacentral:rRNA from 1 species
AACGAACGCUGGCGGCAUGCCUAACACAUGCAAGUCGAACGAUACCUUCGGGUCUAGUGGCGCACGGGUGCGUAACGCGUGGGAACCUGCCCUUAGGUUCGGAAUAACUCCCCGAAAGGGGUGCUAAUACCGGAUAAUGUCUUCGGACCAAAGAUUUAUCGCCUUUGGAUGGGCCCGCGUUGGAUUAGCUAGUUGGUAGGGUAAAAGCCUACCAAGGCGACGAUCCAUAGCUGGUCUGAGAGGAUGAUCAGCCACACUGGGACUGAGACACGGCCCAGACUCCGACGGGAGGGAGCAGUGGGGAAUAUUGGACAAUGGGCGAAAGCCGGAUCCAGCAGUGCCGCGUGAGUGAUGAAGGCCUUAGGGUUGUAAAGCUCUUUUACCCGGGAUGAUAAUGACAGUACCGGGGGAAUAAGCCCCGGCUAACUCCGU